CCUACGGGUGGCAGCAGUGAGGAAUAUUGGUCAAUGGACGCAAGUCUGAACCAGCCAUGCCGCGUGCAGGAAGACGGCUCUAUGAGUUGUAAACUGCUUUUGUACGAGGGUAAACGCAGAUACGCGUAUCUGUCUGAAAGUAUCGUACGAAUAAGGAUCGGCUAACUCCGUGCCAGCAGCCGCGGUAAUACGGAGGAUUCAAGCGUUAUCCGGAUUUAUUGGGUUUAAAGGGUGCGUAGGCGGUCGGAUAAGUUAGAGGUGAAAUCCCGGGGCGCAACUUCGGAAUUGCCUUUGAUACUGUGCGGUUAGGGAGUAGUUGGGGUAGGCGGAAUGUAUGUUGUAGCGGUGAAAUGCUUAGAGUUCAUACAGAAACCCGAUGGCGAAGGCAGUUUACCAAGCUACUU
rnacentral:rRNA from 1 species